AUAAAACAUUUAUUCGACAUCUGGCAUGGGUCCAAAAACCUUGGGAAAAAACUAAUAAAGACUGGACAAGAAAAAUCAAAAAAGCCAAUAUUGCAGUGGACGAGAGAGAUAGUAAACCAUCAUCUGUAGCAACGAAAUACAGAAGAUGAGUUUAUUGGCAUUUGGUUUGGAGUCAUACAUCAUGUUGUGAAUGAGCAUGAAUGGAUUUUGCCAUAUACAUAUAGAGCAGGAGGAAGAAGUUCAUGCCAGCAUGGUCAAAAUUAACAGAGGAAAGGGACAAAAAUUGGUUUGAGGCAGGAUCUCCAGCACAUGUUGCCGUGCGUGAAAUU